CCUACGGGUGGCAGCAGUGAGGAAUAUUGGUCAAUGGGCGCGAGCCUGAACCAGCCAAGUCGCGUGAGGGAUGAAGGUUCUAUGGAUCGUAAACCUCUUUUAUAAGGGAAUAAAGUGUGGGACGUGUCCUAUUUUGUAUGUACAUUAUGAAGAAGGAUCGGCUAACUCCGUGCCAGCAGCCGCGGUAAUACGGAGGAUCCGAGCGUUAUCCGGAUUUAGUGGGUUUAAAGGGUGCGUAGGCGGCCUUUUAAGUCCGCGGUGAAAGUCUGUGGCUCAACCAUAGAAUUGCCGUUGACACUGGGCGGCUUGAGUAUGUUUGAGGCAGGCGGAAUGCGUGGUGUAGCGGUGAAAUGCUUAGAUAUCACGCAGAACCCCGAUGGCGAAGGCAGCCUGCCAAGCCAUGACUGACGCUGAUGCACGAAAGCGUGGGGAUCAAACAGGAUUAGAUACCCGAGUAGUC
rnacentral:rRNA from 1 species